rnacentral:lncRNA from 1 species
AGAGACAAAGACACGGGAAGAGAGAGCGAAAGGAUUCGGUCCCUUUUUCUCCUCUCUCUCUCUCUUGCUCUCAUCUUCUUCUUGUGAAAUUAAACUCAAAACUUAAGUCUCAAAGAAGAAAGAAGAAAGAAGAAGAACAUCUUCAAAGUUUCAGUCUCAGGUGGUUCACACAGUUAAUGCCGACUCUUACUUCUUUUCGCCGUUACGCGUAAUGGUCAAUCUACAUUCCAAUUCC